GAUGAACGCUAGCGGGAGGCCUAACACAUGCAAGUCGAACGGGAUUGAGAGCUUGCUCUCAUGAGAGUGGCGCACGGGUGAGUAACGCGUAUGCAACCUACCUUUAACAGAGGGAUAGCCCAUAGAAAUGUGGAUUAAUAUCUCAUAGUUCUUUUGUUCCGCAUGGGAUGGAAGAUAAAGCUCCGGCGGUUAAAGAUGGGCAUGCGUGACAUUAGUUAGUUGGUGAGGUAACGGCUCACCAAGACUACGAUGUCUAGGGGUUCUGAGAGGAUGAUCCCCCACACUGGUACUGAGACACGGACCAAACUCCUACGGGAGGCAGCAGUGAGGAAUAUUGGUCAAUGGGCGCAAGCCUGAACCAGCCAU
rnacentral:rRNA from 1 species